rnacentral:lncRNA from 1 species
CCCAUUGGAGGUGGUCUUAGGUAUCUCACUAACUGAUCACCUCUCAUCUUAUUCUUUAUUCAAACACCGAAAUUCUGUUUUUUUUUUCUUUUUUUUUGAAUGAAUGUUAAAUUUUUAUUCAUCAAAAAAACUUUUUUACAUCAUAUGCAUACUUUUUGUUUAGAAAUAACCUUCUAAAAAACUUUAAAGAACUCUACAAUCUUGUACUAAACCAAAAUUGUAACCCAGCCUCCAUGCUUUUUACUUUCUUUGAUCUCAUCAAGCUUAGUUUAUUCCUCACCCCUUUAUCUAACAUCUUCUUCAAAACUUCCAUUGGCAUAAUCUUCUCCCCGUGAUGCAACUUAUUUCUUUCAUGCCAAAGAGAAUACAUAGCUACUUGGAAUGCAUAUCUGAUACAAAACAACUUCUUCAUUUUCAUCUUCUCAUCAGAUAUCAGGAUCAGAAUAGCUU